CAGUCGCCGCGGUAAUACGUAGGUGGCAAGCGUUAUCCGGAAUUAUUGGGCGUAAAGCGCGCGUAGGUGGUUUUUUAAGUCUGAUGUGAAAGCCCACGGCUCAACCGUGGAGGGUCAUUGGAAACUGGAAAACUUGAGUGCAGAAGAGAAAAGUGGAAUUCCAUGUGUAGCGGUGAAAUGCGCAGAGAUAUGGAGGAACACCAGUGGCGAAGGCGACUUUCUGGUCUGUAACUGACGCUGAUGUGCGAAAGCGUGGGGAUCAAACAGGAUUAGAUACCCGCGUAGUCCCUGUCUCUUAUAA
rnacentral:rRNA from 1 species